AGAGUUUGAUCCUGGCUCAGAUUGAACGCUGGCGGCAGGCCUAACACAUGCAAGUCGAGCGGUAGAGAGGAGCUUGCUCCUCUUGAGAGCGGCGGACGGGUGAGUAAUGCCUAGGAAUCUGCCUGGUAGUGGGGGAUAACGUUCGGAAACGGACGCUAAUACCGCAUACGUCCUACGGGAGAAAGCAGGGGACCUUCGGGCCUUGCGCUAUCAGAUGAGCCUAGGUCGGAUUAGCUAGUUGGUGAGGUAAUGGCUCACCAAGGCGACGAUCCGUAACUGGUCUGAGAGGAUGAUCAGUCACACUGGAACUGAGACACGGUCCAGACUCCUACGGGAGGCAGCAGUGGGGAAUAUUGGACAAUGGGCGAAAGCCUGAUCCAGCCAUGCCGCGUGUGUGAAGAAGGUCUUCGGAUUGUAAAGCACUUUAAGUUGGGAGGAAGGGCAGUAAAUUAAUACUUUGCUGUUUUGACGUUACCGACAGAAUAAGCACCGGCUAACUCUGUGCCAGCAGCCGCGGUAAUACAGAGGGUGCAAGCGUUAAUCGGAAUUACUGGGCGUAAAGCGCGCGUAGGUGGUUUGUUAGGUUGGAUGUGAAAUCCCCGGGCUCAACCUGGGAACUGCAUUCAAAACUGACUGACUAGAGUAUGGUAGAGGGUGGUGGAAUUUCCUGUGUAGCGGUGAAAUGCGUAGAUAUAGGAAGGAACACCAGUGGCGAAGGCGACCACCUGGACUAAUACUGACACUGAGGUGCGAAAGCGUAGGGAGCAAACAGGAUUAGAUACCCUGGUAGUCCACGCCGUAAACGAUGUCAACUAGCCGUUGGAAGCCUUGAGCUUUUAGUGGCGCAGCUAACGCAUUAAGUUGACCGCCUGGGGAGUACGGCCGCAAGGUUAAAACUCAAAUGAAUUGACGGGGGCCCGCACAAGCGGUGGAGCAUGUGGUUUAAUUCGAAGCAACGCGAAGAACCUUACCAGGCCUUGACAUCCAAUGAACUUUCUAGAGAUAGAUUGGUGCCUUCGGGAGCAUUGAGACAGGUGCUGCAUGGCUGUCGUCAGCUCGUGUCGUGAGAUGUUGGGUUAAGUCCCGUAACGAGCGCAACCCUUGUCCUUAGUUACCAGCACGUAAUGGUGGGCACUCUAAGGAGACUGCCGGUGACAAACCGGAGGAAGGUGGGGAUGACGUCAAGUCAUCAUGGCCCUUACGGCCUGGGCUACACACGUGCUACAAUGGUCGGUACAGAGGGUUGCCAAGCCGCGAGGUGGAGCUAAUCCCACAAAACCGAUCGUAGUCCGGAUCGCAGUCUGCAACUCGACUGCGUGAAGUCGGAAUCGCUAGUAAUCGCGAAUCAGAAUGUCGCGGUGAAUACGUUCCCGGGCCUUGCACAGACCGCCCGUC
rnacentral:rRNA from 1 species